AUAUUUCCUGCGGGUUUAGUGAUAUGUUUUGGAGUCUUCGGUUUAUUGGCUGUGGGGCUUCGACAGGGGAUGCACUUCACUUCUUGAUUUUAAAGUGACAGCUUGUGCGAUAGGAAAUGUGGAUAUAUGGAUAUAUAUAUCAACACCGUUUGCUGAGAAUGCUUUCGUUUUGCAAAUCAUAAUUUAGGUCUACUCAUUUGCUCUAUAUCUAACUACAUUACAUUUAUCUAGAUUGAGACAAUUGGCACAUCACUCUCCCCUGUCGCUCACCACCCACCCGAUCGAACAAUCAAAUGUACAGUAUAUGUGGUUCCUGAACAACAUUCUCGCCGCAAUUGAGAUCCUUCGCUAAUAUUCCCCCCGAGGUAGAGGAGUACACUUCUACAGUGUUUCCGAAACACGUGCUGGAAAAGGUUUCGUAUACCAUCUAUAUAAUCAAGCCCUGGAGAUUCUCGCUUGAAUUUCUUAAUCGUACGUCUAUAACAAUUUUACUUUUUUUUAAACCAAUAACUCUGCGCUGUGGGUCUGAAAAGCCUGUCGGCCCACAAUCACCCAAGAAAAGAAAAUCGUUUUCAUCAGUUCAUUUCCAUUUCGUCAAACAUAUCGCUGUAAAAAAAAAAGUAAAGGUUAUUCCUCCUAUAUACCCUGGGGUAGAAGACGGAUAAAUAAAUCCCGGUGGUUUGUCGUAGUUCAUGAUGUCGUUAUGCUGGUCAAAGGUGAUGCUAGCCGAUGGCGGAGAGGCCGUAGUAGAGUUCCUGCACCGCAAGUAAAGCGAGUUCCGAUAGAUAUUGAAUAUCCUCAGUCCCAAGUCGCCGCUGAUGGUAUGGACGCAACGUUCAGAUUGGGUUUAGCGUCAAUUGGGGCUUUACCGGUAUGAAAAUAUACCGGUUUCCAGAUUCCCAAUGACGGCCUUUUUUUAACUUCUUCAGUUUCUCUCAAUAUUCCUGAUUUUCCCCAGGGUUGCGGUUUUAGUAUUUGGUAUGGAUUUCCUGGUGGGGGUGGAGCAGUGGAUCUUCAGAAUCAUGGCUUCUUGAGGGACCCACGCGGCAAGAUCACGCUAACUAACUAAUGCUAUCUUUUUUAAUUUCUUAAAACUUCGCUCUUAUAAGGUGAAUUGGCGGAUGUGUCGCGGACUUGAGGGUGAUGAUGCUACUGCUGAUGGCGUCGAUAUUGGGCUCGGGGACGAAGGGGAAGAGGGCGACUGAGAUGUUCUGUGCACAGGUGUGGCGUCUUCAUUUUCAGAUGAAACCACGAUGGCGGGUGGGCGGCGAAUAUCAGGUAUGGGCCGGUUAGAAUUCGUGGGAGACGUGGGUGAUCCUGACGGGUUACUUCGUGGAGAGCCGUGAUGAGUCUGUAUUGGUACUUCCAGAGUCGCCCGCCGGUGGUUUCCAUUAACGCCGCCGCUGGAUGCUCGAGGGCGAUUGUGAAUCUCGGGCGGAGCACGGUCACCCGUUAUCGUAUUAGCGUGCGAUGUUCGCGAAAUGAUGGUUGGUGAAGGCGAACGCGAUCCUGGUCUCGAAAACCUAGACGAAGCCUCCAAAUCGAGCCCAUAGAUGCUACUCGUGAAGCUACCUGCUCUUGAGGCCCGUCCUCGAAGCGAGGGAGAGGCAUUCCCAUAUGUGUCUCGAUAUGUGUUGUAUUGAUUUCUGAUGUUAGGCAGGGCGCGGUUCCGGCGUAAUUCUCCAGGAAUCUCAGGGAAGUCCAGAGCCUUCCCGCUCUUAAAUUCGGAGUCGUUAAGCCUCUCGUGAGCCGCGUCACUGAGAUAGAUGACAAACUUAGUUAACGCAAUCGCUACUUUACGUCUGUUGCCAGAAUCCCUUGCCGACGAUUGUCUCGGUUGGCCAUCGUGUUCAACGAUAGAGCGAGUGUUGGAAGCGCUUCGCUGCAUCUCGACGCCGCGUGCUGGAGAGCGCAAAGAUUCUACAGAUGCGAUCGUGUUGAUUUCGCGCAU
rnacentral:sRNA from 2 species